rnacentral:lncRNA from 1 species
GUUUCUUGACUUUUACGAGACACACACGGAGAGAGAAAGUGUUAUGGUUAGAAUCGGGAUGCGUUUCAGACAACCACACUUGAAACGAAUGAAUACAUAUAUUUGGAAAGCUGAGGGCUUGUUGUAGUUUUCAGAAGUGGGUUCAGUUGAGAAACUUCAAACUUCCCUCCAUCCUCUCUCUCUCUCUCUCUCUCUCUCUACAAGGUAUAGCCUUCGGCGCACAUGCUUUGGUGCUUUCGUUUGAAACUUACAAUGGAGAUUUGAUAUAUAAGGAGGAAGUUUGAAAUUCACAGAGGUGUUUCUGUUGAUGUUUCUUGACUUGGGUUUUUGGUUUUCAAGUUAUAGAGCCUCCAGAAACACAUCAUUUGGAAGAGUCUAAGCUUCUAGAGUUGUGAACUCUUAAAUUUCUAUACAACCCCGUCUGCGUUUAUAUCAGAGUUUCCAGUCAGAUUAAGUUUUAGGAAAAUUCAAGCUGAUGUAUCAAAAGCAAAGAUUGAAGAUGUAUUAAAAGCUAUACCUAAAGGCAGCCAUUGAAAGCAUUUAUUGCACAAAGUUUUCUCUCCGAACUUUCUGUAAGUAUAAUGUCAUUGCUAACCCAUGUCCCUUGCAUGCUCACUUCUCCCAAUCUUCCUCUUCUUCUUCUGUUCUUAAUUAAUCUUUUUCCUUUCUUAAUUCUGUCCUUUAAUUCUCUUAUUGGUCAUUGUUGCAAGUUAAAGCUAAGCUAAUUCUAAUGCUAUCAUCGAGCCACCAGAUUAGAACUUUGUCGGCCUGCAAACAUCUGCAAGUUGCAGUUUCCAUCAUACUUCUUCUUCGAUCUUUUUUCUGAUUCUUUAAACAGAAGAAAACUGUUAUUUUGUUUUUCUUUUUUGUUCCUUUCGAUGUCUAGCGGGUCUAGAUCAUGUCGGUUAAAAAAUGUUCUUUGUGACAAACAGGAUCCAAGAAUAAGUCCAGAAUUCUUCAAGCCUCAAGUGGAGAAGCAACAGAGCUGGACAGAACCAUACACAACAUAUCCUUUAAGAGAGUACUACCUAUACGCAACGUUUUGUUUAUUGAAGGUUCUCUUUUGAAUCUGCAAACAUAAAACACACCGUUUUAUUUAUGUAAAGUUUGAAAUUCAGUUAGUGUAGAUAGUUAGUUGUAUAAAUUAGAAUAAUUAGUUUUUUUGCUUUCUGUCAAUUGCUCAUUGCCCUAUGUAUAUAAGACAAGGGACAAACUAUCCUUUGUGGGAAAUUUCAUUCUGAAACAGAUCAGAAUUCUUUUCAACCGCCUUAGCAUUUUCUUCCCAUUUUCAUAUUCUGUCUUGGUACCAGAGCAGGUAGGACUGAGGACCAGACGAAUAGGGCUUUGACAGCAAAUUUUUUUUUGGAGUGGUGGUUUUAAUAGAACAGUGAGUAUACUGGUUAUCCUUUCAUCCUUUAUUCUUUAGCUUUCAUUUACUUGCCUAUUAGCUGAGAAAAUGUUUGAAUCAAGUGAAUCAACCACUAGAAACACUGCACCUAAACCACAGCUCACAUCACAGGUUUCACAAGCUAAUGAUCCCCAAUCACCAUAUUACCUUCAUCACACUGACCACCUUGGUUCAGUGGUUGUAAACCCCAAACUCACCACAAACAACUAUGUUGCAUGGAGCCGAUCUUUCUUACUAACCUUGUCAAUCAAAAACAAGGCUGGAUUCAUAAAUGGCUCCAUUCCCAAGCCUUCAAUCACUAAUGAUCUAUAUCCUAUCUGGAACAGAUGCAAUAACCUCAAAGUAUCCUGGUUAUUAGAUUCUAUCUCCCAACCAAUAGCCUCUACCAUCUUCUUUAUGGAAUCUGCUGCUGAAAUUUGGAAUACCCUGAAACUGAACUAUGCUCAACCUGAUGAUACCCGUGUUUGUAAUCUUCAAUACACACUUGGAAGUGUAAUUCAAGGAGUCAAAACAGUAGAUGCCUAUUUUAUAGAGCUAAAAUGCAUAUGGGAAGAACUAAGAAACUAUAGGCCCUUGCCACAUUGCGAAUGUGAAAAAUGCAAUGCCAGUUGCUUCAAGAAAUUCUCUAAUCAAUACCAAAAGGACAUGGUAUUUAGGUUCCUCAAUGGUUUGAAUGAAUCCUUCUUAACCAUUAGGUCCCAAAUCAUUCUAAUGGACCCAAUACCAACACUAGACAAGGUUUAUAGCAUGGUACUGAGAGAAGAAUCAUAGAGAAAUAUGUUCCUGCAAUCCCAACCCUUCCUUGAGUCUUCAGCAAUGUUAGGUACUACUGAUGUAAAGAGAAAGCCAAGGAAGGAUCUUACUUGUACUCACUGUGGGAAGAAAGGACAUGUAAAGGAGAAGUGUUAUAAGAUAAUUGGUUUUCUAGAGGAUUUUAAAUUCACUAAAGGGAAGCCUCAUGUGAAGAAAGGGGCAGCUGUAAACAGUUUUACUACAGCAGUUGAACCACAGCCAGAUGACAAUCAAGCAAAUCAUGUGGAGGAGAUAGGAGGCUCUAGUUCCAUGUCACAGAUGACUAUGCUUAAGCAGCAAGUUAACAAGUUAAUGGAUCUCUUAAAUGAGAAUGGUUUAAUUAGCAAUGAUGGUAAGAGCGCCCCUGCAAACACUUAACCCAACAAACACUCACUUGUUAAUUCUGCCUUUGCAGGUAUAGUCUCUAAUUACCCUUGCUUCAAUACACAUAAUAAUUUGCCAUUUGAAUUCAAGCAUGUUAACACUAUCAUGAUUAAGCAUGGACAUUGGAUCAUGGACUCAAGUGCAACAGAUCAUAUAGCCUAUUCCUUAGAUAAUUUUCUUCAAGCCAACCCUGUAGAGAACUAUUUUGUUCAACUGCCAAAUGAUAGAAGAACAUUAGUUUCCCAUAUAGGCACAGUUAAAGUAAACUCUUCAUUGAUUCUAUAUGAUGUCCUGUGUGUACCAAGCUUUAAAUUCAAUAUAAUAUCAAAAGUAAACUUACCUGUAGCAAGAAAAACUAUGUGCUGUUUAUCGACUCACAUUGUAUUAUCCAGGAUACCCUCUCUUGGACAGUGAUUGGGGUUGUUAGGGCUACUUCAGGGUUAUAUCUUAUGCAAGACAGUGAGCAGGAUAUGUCUAGAUUUUGUUUUGACAAAGUUGUAAAGUUUCCUUCAAUUUUCUCUAUCGAUUCUUGUAAACCAGAAAACAAAAUCAAAGGUUUUAAUAUUUGGCACUUUAGGUUAGGCCAUGCACCUUUAGAAUGGAUUAAUGUGAUCCACCAACAUUGUCCAGUUGUUGAUUGUUCAAAUGAAUUAAUAUGUGAGAUCUGCCCUUUGGCAAAGCAAAGAAAGCUUUCUUUUCCUCUUCAUAUUCAAAGUACAAAUGCUAUUUUUCAAUUAAUUCAUGCUGACAUUUGGGGACCUUGUGAGGUUUCAACUUUAUCAGAACAAAGAUAUUUUUUAACUAUUGUGUAUGACUUUUCUUGAUUCACUUGGGUAUUCUUAAUGAGAAACAAGUCAGAAGUCUCAACUAUUAUUCCUUCUUUUGAUACAUAUGUACAAAAAUAGUUUAAUUGCUCAAUUAAAUGCAUAAGAUCAAAUAAUGGGAAUGAGUUUAGACUUACUGAUUUUUUCACCAAAACUGGCAUAGUUCAUUAGCUGUCCUAUGUAGGUAACCCUCAGUAGAAUGGUGUUGUUGAAAGAAAACACCAACACAUUCUGAUGGUUGCAAGAGCCUUAAUACAUCAGUCAAGUAUCCCUCUUUAUUUCUGGGGAGAUGCAGUCCUCACUGCAGUUCACAUAAUUAAUAGGGUACCUAGCAAAAUAAUUCACAAUAAGUCACCAUUUGAAUUGUUACAUGGAAAGCUACCAUCAUAUGACCAUCUCAAAGUUUUUGGAUGUUUAUGUUUUGUUUCCACCUUAACACAAAAUAGAAAGAAGUUGGACCCGAUAGCAAGCAAAUGUAUUUUUUUAGGCUAUCCAAAUAAUGUAAAAGGGUAUAAGGUAUAUGAUCUUUGUGAACAAGAGGUCCUAAUAUCAAGGGAUAUUGUUUUUCAUGAGCAUGUGUUUCCAUUUCAUUCAUCAAGCAAUAACAUGCAGUCUGAUGCAUUUUAUCAAACACAUAGUAUGCAUGAUGAAUACAUGGAAGAUUUUGAUGCUAAUUGUCCAUAUCAGCCUUACCAACAGCACACAACACCUGAAUUAUGUUCUCUUGAGCCUUCUUCAUCAUCUGAAACAUUUUCUUCAUUGAAUUCAAGUGACAUUUUCCUCAAUCCACCCUUAAACGACAGCAUAUCACAAACUGUAGACAGUUUUAAUGUUGAUAUGAGUACUUCUCAAGAAGCAGUAGCACCAGCCAGAAGAAGUACAAGACAAAAACAACCUCCUAAGUACCUUGAUGCAUAUUAUGUUGACAUACCUUCACAAUCUAAUUCUAUUACCCUUCAUCCAAUAACCAAGCACCUAUCAACUAAAUAACUCCCACCUGCACAUAAGGCAUUUACUAUUACUUUGUCCCAUAUUCAUGAGCCAAAUUCUUACCAUCAAGCUAUAAACUAUUCUCAUUGGAGAGAAGCAAUGGACCUAGAACUGAAAGCUUUGCAAGACAAUGGUACAUGGACCAUAGAACCUCUACCUUCAAAUUCACAUGUAAUUGGCUGCAAGUGGGUAUACAAGGUUAAAAUGAAGGCAAAUGGUGAAAUUGAAAGAUAUAAGGCAAGAUUGGUUGCUAAAGGGUACAACCAAGUUGCAAGAUUUGAUUACCAAGAGAUUUUUAGUACUGUAGCAAAACAGUCCACCAUUAGAGUGUUCUUUGCUCUAGCUGCUACAAAUAGUUGGUCUUUAUCACAAUUAGAUAUUAAUAAUGCCUUCCUUAAUGGUGAUCUAGAUGAAGCAAUAUAUAUGGAGAUACCACAAGGUUAUGCUGUCCAGGGGGAGUGUCCAAAAGGAUCCAAACUUGUUUGCAAACUAUACAAAUCCUUAUAUGGUUUAAAGCAAGCUUCCAGACGGUGGAAUGCCAAACUUACUGCUUCACUUUUGCAAUUUGGAUUCACUCAAUCAUCAACAAAUCAUUCUUUAUUUACUAUGAAGACUCCUAUUGGAAAUUUCGUUGCUCUUCUCGUGUAUGUAGAUGACAUGCUCAUUGGGAGUACAUUUAUUAAUGCUGCAUCAGAAGUGAAAGAGUUUUUAAACUCAAAAUUCAAGCUCAAGGAUCUUGGAGAUGUCAAAUACUUCCUUGGACUUGAAAUCAUUGAUAUACCAAAAGAAAUCUCUAUAAGUCAGAGAAAGUACACUUUAGAUCUCCUUGAAGAACAAGGGAUGUUGGGAGCUCAACCUACAAGCACUCCCAUUGACUACAAUCAUAAAUUGCAGAAAGCACAAGAUGGAGAAGAAUUAUUGAAGGAUCCAACAUGUUACAGACAAUUUAUAGACAAACUGCUAUAUCUUACUUUUAGCAAGCCUGAUAUAUCUUAUGCAGUGCAAACAUUAUCACAGUUCAUGGACAGACCUAGUCAGAUGCAUUUGAUGGCAGCUCAUAGAAUAUUAAAGUAUUUGAAAAAUGCUGUUGGGCAAGGAAUUCUAAUGAAAAGAAUAUCAAAUCUCAAGAUCACAGCUUACUCAGACAGUGAUUGGGCUGGAUGUCCUCAUAGUAGGAGAUCAAUCAUAGGAUAUUGUGUGUUUAUUGGAGACACUCUUGUCAGCUGGAAAUCCAAAAAGCAAGCUGUUGUUGCUCGCAGUUCUGCUGAAGCAAAGUAUCGUUCCAUGGCAUCCACCUGUUGUGAAUUAAUGUGGCUGAAGCACCUGCUGACUGAUUUUAAGAUAGACCAUGAUGAUCCUAUAGACUUGUAUUCAGAUAGUCAAUUUGCCAUUCAUAUCAGCAAGAAUCCUGUGUACCAUGAACGAACAAAACACAUCGAGAUGGAUUGUCACUUCAUCCGAGAAAAGGUGUUAGCAGGUAUAAUUAAGCCUCUUUACAUAUCCACUGAUCUGCAAGCAGCUGAUAUUUUUACCAAGGCUUUGUUACCAAAGCAAUUUUAUAAGCUACUAGGCAAGUUGAGUGUUCAUGAUAUUCACACCUCCUCUUGAGGGGGAAUGACAAACAGGAUCUAAGAAUAAGUCCAGAAUUCUUCAAGGCUCAAGUGGAGAAGCAACAGAGCUGGACAGAACUAUACACAACCUAUCCUUUAAGAGAGUACUACCUGUACGCAGCGUUUUGUUUAUUAAAGGUUCUCUUUUGAAUCUGCACACAUAAAACACACCGUUUCAUUUAUGUAAAGUUUAAAAUUCAGUUAGUGUAGAUAGUUAGUUGUAUAAAUUAGGAUAAUUAGUUUUUCUAUUUUCUGUUAAUUGCUCAUUGCCCUAUGUAUAUAAGACAAGGGAUAAACUAUCCUUCGUGAGGAAUUUCAUUCUAAAACAGAUCAGAAUUCUUUUCAACCGCCUUAGCCUUUUCUUCGCAAUUUCAUAUUCUGUCACUUUGCCUGUCGAGAAGUCAUUUCUUUCAAACCAGCCUACUUCUAGAAAAGUUUUUCAAACCCUUUUGACUGUCCUACACAAUAUAGGCAAAAAAAUAAUAUCUUUCUCCAUUUACACUUAAACUAGAUACCCUUUUGCUUUUCUUUUCUAAAGCUUAUUAUUAUGUGCUUCAAAGUUCCCUUGUUUCCAAUCCAACUGAAUUUGCAAAGGAAAAUCUCAACACUCAAACAAAGUAAACUAAAGCUCAAUGCUCUUUCCUUGAAAGGUUAUUGUGUACCUUAUUCCUUGUUUUCAUAUGAACUGCAAUGGUUUUUUCUCGGUACUUAUCCCAAUAAUAAAUUUGAAGAUAAUUGCAUAAUAUAAAUUAUCUGAUCUCAAUCAUAUAGGGGGUGCAUGGGGAUAGUGCCUUUGUGCCUAGCAAUAUUCAAACCCCUUCUGUCUUAAACCCACCAUUUUUGAUCAGUUAGGUUCCUUUUUUACAAAGUAUUAGGAACUUGUUUGCUGAGUUUCAGUGGUGUUUUAACUUGUUGAAUGGGUUAGUUGUUCCAUCCCUAGUGAGUUCAUACAGCACUUGCAUUUAAUGGGUUGGUUCCACUUUGCCAGGAAAAACAGUAGCAUUAAUUAUUCUUUGAUCAUUUGUCAAAGCAUUCUAAUUCCAAACUCGUAAAUAAUCUUUUUCCUUGUUUGACAGGGUAGAAAUGGGAUGCCCAAAUGCCACGAGACUGCUUCUGCCCUCAUUGUUUGCGCUGCUGAUUUUAGCCUUAACCUUCACAGAAACUACCGGGCAAUUCGAUUCAGCUAGUGCUUCUCUACCAGGUUUGGCCUAAACUUCUUUUGACUUCUCUAUUUCCUUUUUCCAUCAUUUAGAAGUCAAUAGUUUUCUUUGCAAUUAAGAAAAAAAGAAUUAAAUAUAUAUUUCAUAUAAAAUAAAAUACGUCUGUUAUGCAAUUUGAUACAAAUUUCAAUGAAAAUGAAUAAUAUAUGCUUUGAAUUUUUAAGUCAAAAUCGUAAAGGACGGUCCACGAACUUGGCAUUUGUUUUGUCAACAGUCAACCUAUAUCCUUUGCCGGUAGCUAAAUAAAUAAAUGCUAUCAGUCUUGAAGGAAGCAUUAAAAUAUAGUAUAAAUUAUUCUCAAUUUCUGGUCAAUUUGAUAAAUAAUAUGGGCCAAGUCUGGUUGUAUGACAAAUUAGUUGGGCUAAAAUACAAGUUCAACUUGGGUCUAACCUAAUGAUUCAUCAUGGGCCAAGCAGCUUGUGUACUUGUUGCAUAUAUUGAUAAGGUACAAAUUCAAUCAAUGUGUCACAACCCAUGAGACAAUCAGAUGGUAUUGUGAGGGUGGAUCCAUUGGACAAUUUCAAUAAGUAUAGAGGAGGAUUUGACAUCACUAACAAGCAUUAUUGGAGUGCAAUUCUAUGAACCCUUUCAGAUACAAUUUUAUUAUUACUUAAAUGGAUUUUUUAGUUGAAGUUCUUUUUUUUUUAUUAAAAAUAGCCGAGAUUAUGCAGACAGCUUUUGAAAUUAAUCUCAGAAAAAUUUCCACCUUGCUUUUUCUGCAGUCAGUUAUAUUUACAGGGGUCCCUGCGUAUGCAAUUGGACUUCUAUGGCUUUUGUUUGGAAUUUUAUAUGGAGGCUAUCUCGCGGCAACCGCUUACUGUUGUAAAAGAAAAGGAAAGCCUAAGACAAAAUCACUCUGUCACAACCAAUUUUGCUUAUGGCCUAUUCUCCUAGCUGUAAUCUUCACAAUCCUGGCAAUGUAAGUGCUUCAACUCUCUAGUAUAAUGAUGCUACAGCACUUCAAAAUUUGAUUGAAAUUCUCAUAUAUAUGUAUAUUUCAAUUACAAAGAUCAAAAGCAAUAGAGGAUUUGUUAGAAACUGUUCAUGAAUUGUGGCAAGCAUAACCCACUACUGAUCAAACACUGUAUAUAUUGUGUGAUCCUAAUUUCCUUGCAGUGCUGCAUCUGGUUUAGCUCUUGGGGGGACUGCUAAAUUCCAUUCUGAAGCGAAGACUGUGGUGAACAUUAUUAUGCGCACAGCAAAUGGAGCAUCAGAAACAAUAUACAACACUACAGGGGCAAUGAAAGAAAUGAGAGAUAACUUGGGAGAAACUAAUGGAACUGGAGAGGCAACUAGCUUUCUUACCUCCACAUCUGAGAAACUGGAUGUUGAAGCAGCAGAUAUAGAAAGACAGGCUAGAAAAAACAGACGAUUGAUUGACAGGGGUCUCAAGAUAGUGUAAAUCUCUCUCCUCUUCUUCUUUCCCCACCCAAUGAGAAAAAUUCCAAUUGCAUAUCAAUUAGAAGGAUGUUGAUACUUAUAUUUAUUUGAUGUUACAGGUUUAUAAUAACCAUUGUGACUAUCUCCUUGAACCUGGUAGCAGUUAUUGCUUUGUCAGGUAUGUUUAGAAGUGUUUCUGAAAAUUUUCAUUAUCAUAAACAAAACAAAAUUUAUAAUCCUUAUCAAGAAGGAAGUUGCCUUAAACUAAACUUAGAAUAUUUAUAUUUAAAUCGUAAAAGGUUGAAAUUAUAGUUGCCGAGCCUCUUAAAGCAGUCAAACUUAAAGGAAUAAUAAUGAUGAAUCCAAGAUAAGUUUUGGAUUCUUCCCGUCUAUUACUCAUGCUAUGGUUCUUUUGAAAGUUGAAUGAUUUCCUUAUGCAGUGACUGGAAUUUUGAGAGUAGGACGAGCACUUUACUGGUAAGGAACUUGACCAUUCAUGAAUCUAACUCAUCAUGCAUGUUGCCAAUCACUUGUUGAAAAGUGACAAAACUGACGUGAAGAAUAUUUUAUAUCUUACUCCUUUCAGGCUAAUUGCAAUAUGUUGGUUUACAAUUCUAUGCUGGUUGUUCUUCGGGAUUUAUUUCUUAAUAUAUUUCCGUGCACAUCUCCCUCCCUAUCUGUCUCUCUCCAGGUGCGUUUUGCCCUCUCUUUCUUUCUCUCCGCUUUCUCUUAAUCCAAUUAGAAUUAGAAUUAGAAUUAGAAUCAGAGCUCCCUUCAAUCUAAUAGGCCAUACUCUUUUAUCUCUUUGAAUUUUCUUUUAUUUUCAAAAACUUUGAGAAUUCUCUCCAUUUCUAAUCUGAGUCUUGCCCUUUUUCUGGCGGGAACUCAACAGCUGGCGGGAAGGAACCAACGAUUUCCUCUGGGAAUUCUGGGUUUGUUUUGUUUCCAUUAUUUGUUCUGUAAUACCCCAAGGAAAGGUGAAUUUUGAAGCUACACUGAUGGCAAACCCACCGGGGAACCAUCAACAAGAAGCGAAUCACGCGUCGUCUUCUUUCAAUGGAGGAAACUUGAGCAACGGGAGUACCAUACCUGACAGCUUGGGUUCGGGUAUGAAGCAUAACACCGGAAUUGCCUUGGAUUGGACCUUAGAGGAGCAAGCUAUACUCGACGAAGGGUUAAAAAAGUGAGUCUUUUUUUUCCUAUUUAUGAUUGCAUAGAAUUUUGGGUUUUUGGUGAAAUUUUAUUCUGUGAAUUUUGAGACUCUUUAAUUUCAAGUUUGAAUUUUUAAAUUCAAUUUUAAAAUACUAGGAAUGUGAAUUUUCUUGUUGGAUUCUUGAUUGAAUUGUGGUUUCUUUAUUGUUCCUUGGAACUGGUUGGAAACAAUACAUAAGGAGAUAGUCUACAUCUUACUGUGUUCGAGUUUAUAAAUGGCAGGGAAAGAAAAGGGAAGAAAUGUUUAGUAGCCAAUAAUCGUGGGAACAACAGAUUAUAUACCAUCAUGAUCCUUCUCAGAAUUUUAAUGGAGAUAGAGGUCGUUUUUCUGAAUGUCACUGAUUAUAUUUUACCUAAUUAUUUAUUGUUUUGUUAUAACCAUGCUGCUGUUAAUGAUCCAAUUGAAUUCUUUCGACAUUUGAGCUGAUGAACUCAUUAUUUAAUUUCUUUUAUCUUUUCUUCUUUUUGUUGGGAGUGGGCAAUGCAUCAAUAGUGCUUGUUCUAAAUCUGUUUGUAUUCCACAGGUAUAUAAUUUCAAUUCUAUGGUUUGAGGUGUUAUCGAUAUUCCCAAUUUACAUAUCAUAGUUGCAUUUUGAGUACUGAUAUGAUUUGGAUUGUGAAUGAGGUGUUUUAAAUGCUGUUUAAAAACCUUAUGCUUGUUGGUAUAAACUUUUGUCAUGCCAAGGCACACUAAGUAUUUUUGCACCAAAGGUAAAAUGAAGUGUUGUGCUUGAAAUGACUGACCUCAUAGACAUUAAACUGCUAUAUAGUCAAACGUUUGAAUCAUCACUAACAUUCGGAUAAGUUCUGACCUCAGUUAACGUAUCAAAACUUAAAGAAUCACCUCUCCUCUAAACUCGGAAUGCAUAAGUUUCAUAAUCUAAAACAUGACAUUUUUGUGUGUGGUCUUUCCACAUUUUUCCAAAUGGUAACCAAAAGCUUAUCACUAAGUUAAAACCGUACUGUUUACAUAUUUCUUUGUAUCUGAACUUCUAAUCAAGUGCCUGACAUCUCUCAAGCAUCUUAUUUCCUCCCAAGUCUUGAUUCUGUAUAAUAUUCAAUCAUUGAAUUCCAAUCUAUAUCUGACCUGCCCAUAAGAAUGUAAUUCCUUAAACUUUCAUUUCUUACUCAUUUUUUUUAUCAUAAUGGAAGGUUAAAUUUAGUUGCGGUUGGAAUCUCAUAUUGGGGAAUUUUCUUUGUAGUUGUGGAAUUUGUGUUGCAAUUAAUUAGGCUGAUACGUUUACUACAAUAUCUUGGAAAAUCUUUUGUAAUGUUUAAUAUGAAUAUUGCAAUUAAAUCAAGUUAAUUUCUCUUGUAAUUUUUGCCAGCCUCCUUCUUUUUAUUUGUUUUGUUUUUUAUGUUUCAUUCCAUUUUCCUUUUUGUUUGGCUGCCCUACUAUUUUGCAAUCUUUUCCUAUGUCACAUCCACACUCCUGCUCUUUAAAUACCCAUUGAUCUUCUUUACACGCCCUUCUCAUAAUUGACCUUGUUUGCCUCUAUUGAGAUCACCGAUCUUUAGAUCUGUAAGAGAUGGGAAAGAAAAAGAAAAAGAAAUUAAUAUUUUGUGAUCAUAUAUAGUUUUACUAAUGAUUGCCACUGGUAUCCUAGAGACAAAGACAAAGGCUUGUGAUAGUGGGUUUUAAGGUGUCUAGAGUUUAUUAUAAUUUGUUCUAUUUGUUCCAUUCUUAGUUUUGUUGUUAGUCUUUGUUGAGCUAUGUGGAUAAGGCCUUUCUUUAGCGUAAACCUCCUCCUUAUUUGUAGAUAUCAUAUGGCUUGAUGCACUAUAAUGUGUUUACUUUCUUUCUUGUCAAAAUAAAUAAAUAAACAAAGGAACUUAAGUAAUUUGAAAUGUAUGGUGCACCAAAGUUAUAAUGGAUAGCACAUGCUGUUUGGUUUCGUUAUCUUAUCUCAAUUUUGGCCACAAAUUGUGCUAACUUCUAUAGUAGCACAUGCUUUCUUAGCUGGCUGGUGCCAUGGAAGUUCCAUGUGUCAUACUGAAAUGAAUUAUGACUUAUCAAUAUGGAGAUCCCUCUAUUGAGAAAGAAAAUAAUAAUUUUAUUUAGCAAGGUUUCUUUUUUGUUUUUUUUCCAAAACUUUUGUCCUUGACAAGAUUAGAUAAAUGGUAUCAUAAUCUUUUGGUCUGUUCAAAUUGACAUUGGAGAAAAAAGGACUCAAGCCUAGAUCAAUAAAUCAGCCGAACGGAGGGAAAUUUAUUCCUUCCUGAAAACCACAAUGAUAAGAGAACAAUUAGUCAACUUAUUGACUAAUUUUGCGAACUUAAACAAUGUCAACUUAGAUGAGACAAAAUUUUAGAUUCAUCUAAAACAUAAAGAAGAGAAAAUGAAGAAAUCAUCUAAAAAACGUUUCUUGUAAUUUUAAACUCAAUGUUUCUUUAUAAUGUGAAAGAUGAUGAGGUGAACAAGAACGAGCUAGAAGAGCAGUUUAUGAAUGUAUAAAAAGAAGAAGAGAUUUGUUGAGAUAUGAGUAAGGAGGUAGUGGGCAAUGCUCUUGGGCCUUGUAUUAUAGAAGGGUAGGGUGGGAGCUGGUGGGCUAUGGCUUCAUAUCUCAUAUAAUAAGAAGAGAAGAGAAGAAAAGAUAUAUUAAAAAAAUGCAUAUUCAUGUGCAUUUGGUAGCUUGGAACACAGGGUGAAACCUUCAAUCAAUUAUAUUGGUGGCAAAUUCUGGACCUUGUUUCUGCAAAAAAAAAAAAAACAUUUAUUGCUUAAAUGACCACACUUGAUGGGAUAUCAUCUGGAUGGAGGGUCUAAACUACCUGUAUUUCUUGCUACUGCUAUAUUGUCAAACUAUGACCCAAAUGCUUUCUGAAUUGAUGAAUUCCGUUCUAUAGCUAGUGGGAAUUGUAGCCCCCAUUUGUCAUUUUGAAUUAAUAAUUUUAUUGGACUAUCAAGUAUCUGGGGUGAUACAGCCACAUUAGGAGCUGCUAAAAUAAUAUUGCUAUGUUUUCCAAAUUUUUCAUUUACUCCUUUUUUUCUUUUUUUAAUGAAAGUGUCCCCUCCUUUUGAAGGCAUUACGAUGACCUAAAGUUGCAUUUCUCUCUGCAAAUGAAAGUUUGUAACCCACUUACAUGCUUGCUCCGUGUUGAAAUCUAGAGUAAUUAAGAAGGUAACGAAAACGCUUGUCUGUGCAUUCUUGUCUUCACCUGAACAAUAAUUAUCAAAUAAAUUUAUUUUCUGACACAUUUGACCAAGAUGCGUCUUCAAAUAUUUCACUAACAUGCAUUGGGACAAUUGCUGAAUAUCUGUAAUUAAGUAGGUGGCCAAAGUCCAUGGAGUUCGUCGCACGUGUUGAGGAGAGGACUGCACAGAUUUGCUUCUCACCUCCUACCUUUUGUUGCAUUAUAAAACUCUGAUAUUUGAUGUGGAAAAUUGAAAAUGGGUUCUCUAUUUAUUUAUUUCUAACUAUUUUCUUAUAAUUUCAUCUGUUUCAUAUCUAGAGUCUCAAUCAUUUCCCUGAUUGUAAGUUGUCUAGGAUUAGCUAGAAAUAGAAUAUCUGGUUGGAUUUCUUUGAGCCAAUAAUUAGACAAAAAAUCGGUGAGUGAUUUAACAUAUUUAGAUAUGAUUGAUUUUACAAUCUGAAGUCAUUAUAAUCCAAUCUUGAUUUUACAAUCUGAAUCCAUUAUAAUCUAAUCUUUUUCCUUUUCUGUUCUGUUCUUUGCCAUGAAAAAGUUGAUUAUGAUCCUUAUCUGUGGUUAAUUAUGGGAUUCUUAUUAAUUAUUAAGUGCAUAGUUAUAUUUAUACGUGUAUAUANAAUAUGAAUUUUUCCCUUCCCUCCAUUUUUUUUUUCUUUUUUGGUUGAUUAACUAAUUACCAAACGAAUCCUCUAGUAGAUGGAACAUGCUAUUUUUUUCCAGCACAUUAUUUUAUUUUUGUUAUUUGAUUGGUCUUUUAUUUUUCUUUUUGUUUUUUAUGCCAAUUAACUCAGCCACUUCAUUUUCAAGUUUUAAUGAAUUGAAGUUUUUGUGUUUGCCUUGUAUUGACUUCAUCAAUUUUGAUUUUUCACAGAGGUGUAUAAGUUUUGAUGUAAUGUUGGUAUCUCCUUGCAGAUUUGCAUCAGAAUCGAGCAUAAUUCGUUACGCAAAAAUAGCUAUGCAGUUGCAAAAUAAGACAGUCCGAGAUGUGGCUUUGCGUUGCAGAUGGAUGACUGUAAGCCUUACUGUUCUCAUAUGUCUUUAUUUAAACCCAUUAGUUAUUGUUUACCUGAAUUGUAGAAUGAAUAGACUCAUAUAUAUAACCAUAUUUAGAACAUAUAUCACAAGUGGCUUUAAGCAUGCUACUACUCAAAUAAGAAAGGCUGUAAACAUUGGAUUGCAAUUCAUAUUUUUGGUAUCAUUUCUUAAUUCGAUUUCUGAUGAUUUAGCAUUUCUGCUUGGUCAAAAGGAUAUUUAUUCUGUGUUUUCCGAGACAAAUUUUGUUCAUGCAGAUAUUAUUUGUUUUUUUUUUUUUUUUUGAUAUGAGCAUGAUCUGGUUUACGCUUUAUGCAGAAAAAGGAAAAUAGCAAGAGAAGGAAGGAAGAACACAAUUUGGCCAGGAAAAAAAAAAGAAAAAAAAAAGUAAAGAACAAAAAGGUAUGGUUUACUGAUUCUCUCUUUUCUGUGUGCGUAGCUGUAGUAACUUUAGUAAUUUGUGUUUUAUUUGUUCCUUGACCCUGCUUAGUUGGUUAUUUCUAAGAAUGCAUAAAAUUAGGCAUCAGCUAAAAAGCAAGUCUCUCUCUCUCUCUAUGACACUCACAUGCAGUCAUUUUCUAUUUAUCUGUCUGUCUAUCUCCUCUUUCACAUGGGCGCGCUUGAGGAGAUGCAAAUGACUGUUUCCAUUCACAGUGGAAAACUCUCUUAUACAUUAAGGUAGUGGACCGAAGCUCAUUGACCAUAGGAAAGUUAUUGAGUUUAGCAUAGUAUUUUAUAUUUUUCUUGGUAGAGAUGUUAGAUGGAGAUUUAACUAGUACCUGCUCCUAAGCAGCUAUUUCUUUGGUGGAAUUUGAUGGAUGACCUUAAGUUCAUGUGGCGUGUUCGUUAUCAUAUAUGCUCAAAUCACGUUAUGUGUGAAUUAGUAUAUAUCAAUGUCUUUUCCAUCAUCUUUUCUUUGAGGCCUUUGUUUUAUUGGAGCAGUCUUUUGUCUGCUGAUCAGUAGUUCUCUACUUCAACUGAUUUUUAGACUUUGGAAUAUAUUAGAUUGAAUAAGAAAAAUUUUCUUUCAAAGUUACAUAUUUGUGAUAAUAUUUUUUUAAUAUGAUGAGAAAUAGGGCAUAUUUAUAUUUUAAACCAUUCCUUGGAAUCAUAGAUACUUAGCAAUAGAUUUUGCUUGUGAUUUUCAGGAAAGAGUUGCUGAUCCUUCGACAAAGCCUGCUCAUUUUGCAGCUCGACCUAAUGUUUCUCCAUAUGCACCCCCAAUGAUUCCUAUGGACUAUGAUGAUGGUAUUCCGUACAAAGGUUGGAUUCUAUCUUUGAAGAUAUUUAGUUCUAAUAACUCAAGGUUUAGCGAUGUGCUUUGUUGCUUCUUAUAUGCAAGUUUAAUUUCCUUAAAAAUACUAUCUUUUAGUCUGCAUUUUUUAAUUAAAUUUUCUCUAAUCAGUUGUUUUCUGUUUUAUCAAGAUAUAUUUGGUAUAAUAUAAAAGAAGUUUUAUGUACAUCGUCUUGAGGCAGAGAGACAGAGUCUUAGUCUAUUAUGUUUUAUUACCUCACCAGUUGCAUUGCGUUUUUGGUGUUUUCUUAUAUGCUAUAUUUGUUCAUACCUCUUAUAGCUGGCAUCGAAGGUUGGUUGCUUGAGCUGUUUGUCAAAGAGGUUAUAAUAUUUGGUUCAAAAAAAAUGGUUAGACUUUUGAAGUAAUUCAACAGUAGGUGUUGAAGCAGUUUUUCUUUCUCUUUUUUUAGCCUACAUUUUUUGUGGCAUGACUUGGUUGGUUCCCUUUUUAUUUCUAGUUAUCUGCUUAAUAAACAAACAAUUUCAAGUAAAGAAAAGAAAGGGAGAAAAGUGAGACGAAAUUUUUCUGUUCUUACCAUGGAUACAGCGCAGGCAUGUUUUUCCCAAUUCUUUGCAGAAUGCAGGUGACAGAAAAAGGGUCCAAGACAUGCCUAAUAAUAUUACAGAAAGAAUUAUAAAGUAGCUGCAAUACUUCAUUUGGUUGGCGUUUUUGCCACUUGCUUUUGAAAAAUUACUGUAAAGAAAAGUAAAAGGUAAAAAGCAAUAUCAUAAUUUAUUCGAAAUGGGAAAAUAAUUAAAAUGUAACAUAAAUUACUGCAUAAUUAGUCCAUAUAAAAGUAAAAUAAUGCAUUUUGUGCAUGAUCUUUGAAAAAGAAUUUUGCUUUUAUAUUUAAAUGGGCUUGUUGCUUUUUUGCUCCUAAAAGCAAAAAGCAAAUAGUAAAAGCACCAACCAAGGUAGCCUAGCAAAUGUCUUUUCUGUUUUUGUUCUUCUGCAAAUGAAGCCUGAAUUUAGAUUUACAGUGUCUGAAAUUUGCUGAGCAUGAAAACUUUUAUGCUGUUUAUGUUGUUAUUGGAAAUUUAAUUGAAAGCUCCAUUAUGCUGUUGGACAGCCAUUGGUGGUGCAACAGGAGAACUUCUGGAGCAGAAUGCCCAAGCCUUCAAUCAAAUAUCUGCAAAUCUUGCAGCUUUCCAGGUGAAGUACCCAUGUUCUGAAUAGAUCAAUUUUACUUUAUUCUUCUGUUUAUUUAGUUUGCAUUCCAGUUUUCAAUGUGCAAGGACUAGUAUCAGAUUUGGGUCCCUUAACCCUGUCUUUUGAACAUCUUGAUUUCUCACUUCCUUUAAAUCUGGUGUAAGGUAUUUAUCAAGCACAUUGACUUUAUGAAAUCAUCUACCCUGGUGCCAAAUUCCUCUUUCUCUAAUACAUACUCAUGCCUGCAUGUGAAAGCAGUCAGGAAGUAGUGUGAGCACAAAAACUAUACGGUUGGAUACAACCAGGUCCAGUCUUCAUGUCCAUUAGUUGAUUCAAUAACUGGUAAAACAAGGAAUUAUUAAAGGGAUUUCUCAUUAUGUCUAAAUUUUACAAGGUUGGAUGAAAUUUAAAGGAGUGCUUUAUUUCUAUCUGUCCAAGAGAAGUAGUGUAUGCUUCAAAUGUAUUAAUAAAUAAAAGCAUUUGUUACUCUACAGGUGAAAGCAGUUGCUUCAUUCUGAGUUCAGAUUAGAAUUAGUUUGUUUGGGCAUUUUGUAUGCUUGUUAUAAAGCUACAGAAAAUUAUUUGUUUUGAUAUUAACAUCAUGAUGGUAUUGAUUUUGUUCAAAGGUUAAAGGAAUAAGUAUAGCAUGUCUGUGGAUUUAGAUUUCUGUAUACCUUUACCUAUGCUUUUAAAUAUUUAGAGAGUCUCUUCAUUUAAUAUCAGCUGUGAAUUUUUUUUUUUUUGAAAGUUCAUGAAUUCAUUAAAAACAGAGGGAACAAUUGUUCCACCUCUGAAAGGAACAGCAGAUUUUGUCCUGUUACACUUUCACUCAAGUACAACAUACCAAAAUCUACUCCAAAAUCAUAACACUUCCCCUAUAUACAUUUCUGCACUCAUCAUCCCCUAAUCACCUAAGUUAAAAACCCAGAGAGCCUCAAAGCACAAGAGGCCAUAGCGAAAAAGACACAAAAACAAAGGGUCAGUAUCAGCCCAGCUAUACAUUUUUCACAGCCAUUCCCUGUAAAUCCAACAUGUAAUUUUUUAGAGUUAGCAUUCUUCAGAGUGUAGCUGCAACAAAGAACAUGUAAAAGUGACAUCAAUUAUGACUGUCAUACCAGUAAAUAGCAUUUCUAGCUGUUCAUGUGGAUUAACCAAACAUUCUGAUGUGCUAUUUGUUUGCUGCAGUUUUGGUGGUUCUCUAACAGAAUUUGUCGCCUUUAUCAUUUUUCAGAUACAGGAAAAUAUUGGUCUCCUCUGCCAAACUCGUGACAACAUUUUAAAAAUCAUGAAUGAGUAAGUUCCAGUUUUUGCUGAAUUUCCCUUUCUAUGAUACUAGUAUCUAUUGUCUCAUGCAUUGCGUGUGAAUACUUGUUCUUUCACUUGUUUUACUAACAAUUAUAUAUAAGAUACAGAUAAUUAUAAAAUAUAAAAUUGUAGAAAUAAUUAAAAUUUUGUAAUAUUAAUUUAUAGAUGAUUCAAUACUAUUAGAUUAAGAAAAACAUUUUUUUUACUCUUUAAAAAAAAUUUUUUUUUAAUGAAAGUCAUUAAAAUCAAAAUUCUUAUUUACAAAUUAAUACUAUUACAUUAAGAAAAGUAUUUUUUAAUGAAAGUCUUUCAAAAGAAUUAGACUUUUUAUUUACAAAUUGGAUAAAUUUUAUUAAUAUUUAUUGGAAAAAUUAUUUUUAAUGAUAGUCACUUGAUGUAAUUAGGAUAAUAAAAAACAUUUAAAAUAGCAAUUUAAAAAUAUAAUGAGUAACAGCUUUCAUCAAUGCAAAAUAUUUUCAACAUCUCUACUUUUGUACAUAUUAUUGAUAUAUGGUGAUUGAAAGUUUGAGUUCUUUUUUAUAAAAAAGUUGAGUUAUUUAAACAAUGUUCCAGCUUACGCACUGUUGCAAACUGUCUUUCUUGACAUGAUAAUUUGAUUAUUUAAUACAUUGUUUUCUCAACUGCUAGGAUGUAUAUGCAUGAGUGUUUGGCACCUGUAGGUGCACGGUAGGCUUGGAAUGCAAGUUUAUCGUCGUGGAUUUAUAAUUUAUUUGAAAAUAUUUUUGCAGUGUUUUGUGUAUUUGUGAGUGUCUCUGGGUUUCACUGGAUUAUACAGAACUACAAAUUAAUGUUUUUCUCAUCUCUUUUGUUCACCUUACUGUUAUACAAUUGGAAAAUAUGCAGGUCUGCUUCUGUUUUACGUGUGCUAAGUAUUGUUAAUGACAGUUGAACCGUCUUGCUGGGCAUAAACAUUAGUUAGUAUCUGCCUCUAGGAAUGCGUAUCUGUUGUUUUCAUCCAGGUUUUAGUUGUCUGGAUUGUGUUGUUUCUUUUAGAUUCUGCUUGCUGUUGUAUGGGGGAAAAUUUAUUAUCAAUGUUUUUGGAGAAGUUCCAUUAGCAAUUGGUUUAUCUUUCUAUUAAUGCUUCAUUCACUCCAAACCAAAAGCCAUUGCAUUCGACAAUCCAAGUUUGUGCUGAAGUUAGUAUAUUUAGGCACCCUUAUAAUCUUUAGCAUUGGAAGGUAAAAUUUAGGAAACACAGGGGUGGUUGAUGGAAAGGACUUAAAAGUUCAGCAGGUGCCCUUUGUAUUUAUGCUUAGGUUUGUUACAUGUCUGUUAUUUUGGCUUCCUCUCAUAUGGGAAGUGCCAGAGUUUACAAAAGAUUAAAUCACCUGACUUUAUCUAAUGAUAAUAUAAUGCAGUUUAUUGAGAUGUGUGGAAACUUCUCUUUGGGGGUUUGCUUGGUCUUGGCCAUUUCUCAAAUAUGAGAUAAUUUUAUAUUUGCAACAAUCCUGUUAUCAGUGCCAUUCAAAAUCAUCUUUGUUUUUACUGAACCCAGAUUGUUUUUCUUAAAAUAACUUACAUUGUGUAUUCUCUCUUGCUCUCUCUCUUCGGGGUACAGUAGUGUAUCCUCUAGUAGUUAUUAUUUCAUAAAAGUAAUAUUUCAUUUUUUUAUCAAUUACAAAUUUGCUAAUGGAUUAAAUUCCUGCCAAGUGAGUAUGCGAUUUUGAAGAGGCUAACUAAUUUUUGUAUAACCAAUAAUGCUUUUGGAUGCUUUUUUCUUGGUUUAGCUUGAGGAUUUUUGUAACUUGAUUAUCGUUUCAUUCACUAAUAUAAUUCUUCUAUGCUUCAUUUGCAGCUUGAAUGACAUGCCAGAUAUAAUGCAGCGAUGCCACCACUUCCCGUGAAAGUGAAUGAUGAGAUAGCUAGCACCAUCCUACCUCCUUCAACCCAUACGAUGCAAUCACGAUCCUGCCUCCGACUGAUCAAAGUCUCCUGAUUAGUUUCUGCGUAACAGUGCAUGGGACGAGUCUGUGCUCCUGCCUCAAACCUGAACGAGAAAAUAACUGUGGAUGAGGUUGACCCACCUUUUACCAUUUGAAAUAAAUUCUCUUCCCUCCUUGUAUGUAGAGCCUUGGUAGCUUCAUGGUUCCUUUUGGUUUCUGUACUCGAUAGUUUGUUUCUUAGCUGAUACUGUAGGAGGUGAUUUAGGGCUUGUAUAGGGGCACAUAUACAUUAGAAAAGAGUUUAAAUAUCAAUUUUAAUUCUUUGUUUCGUUAUAGUUUUUGCAAAUUUGUCUCUCCUUUUUAUUUGUAGAGUGUUUUUCUUGGUCUACCGACAGGUGAGGCUGCGAAUUGUGGAUGUAGAAAGAUUGUCUGGCGGGUUGGCUCACAGCAUGGUAAUGGGUUUGAACUUUGUAUAUCUGAUAUCUAUUUUUGGGUAAAUUAUCACCCAAGGAUCAUGAUCACGUAAAUGCUAUGAUGUCAAGAGCGAUGCAAGUGCAGCCGUUUGAUUUGAAUAAUUUAGGGUGGAAGCAGCAUUUUAUUGACUGCAAUUUGUAAGUAGCGAAAUUUCCUUGCUAAUGUCCUACAUGCCCACCAUUUGCGCAAUAAAUUAUCCUCCAAUGUACGUUCUAGAAUUGGACUCGUCUCUACGGCGUAGCCGACGUUUUGAUGGUAACCCUUUUAUAUUAUAUUAUUGGGACGAAUUCUUCAGAAAGCCUAAACAAAUUCAAGGCAGGAAAAGGAUUUCAACUUUCUAUUGAAGAAACGAGCAUAACUGAAUCAAUCCAGAGUCCUUGCCAAAAACAAUAUAAAAAUUAAAAAGCUCCCUUGUUAUGAACCUUCAAGGAGUGCACGUCAGUCAUUAUGUUGACGUGUGAUGUGAAUUAUUUUGUUUGUCCCUCUUCUUAUUAAAUCUUUUUAAGAUAAUAACCCUUAAAUCAUCUGAAUUCUUUUCUCCAAAAAUUAAAAAGAAAAAGGAAGCAAACCUGUACAUUUUCAAAGUAACUGUGCGUGAAGGUAGCGUUGUCAUUUUCGAAUAAGAAAUUUAACCACGUAACCCAAACGAUAUGUGGAAGUACAAUAUUUCUCUUUGUUGUGUUUAAGCGACUUAAAUGAAAACAAAUAGACGAAGGAAACGUGGUCUAAAGACGGAAGCCACAAAGUUACUAAAAGCUAAAAAUGGAGCCAGGCUUGUUGACGAAGGGUGUGACUUUAACCCUCACACGUAGGAGGGACAAACCUUUCACGCAACUGGUUGAGUUACCUCUAAGAAGAUGCCAUAUGUCAUUAUCAUAAUUAAUCAAACACAUGGACCAUCUUAUACCUUCUUAAUUGGCUAUUAUUUAAUUUAUGGCCUAAGAAGUAGCUUCAUUUAUAUAGUUUAAUAACCUUUUAAGUUUAUAUAGCACUUGAUUGCUUAAGCAAAUUGCAACCCUGAUAUUGUCAUGUUUGUCAUCAUAGAUUGAAAUGUCAUGGUUUUGUUCUUAAACUUUUAUUUCUUUUUUUUUUAAAUCCUUUUCUUAAUUUGAUUAAAAAUAUUGUUAAUCCAUUAUAAAAAUAUCUAUGAUCAUAUAUAUAGAAGUAAGGAUGUGGGUAAAAUGUUUUAUUGAGGAAAGCAGACAUUCACUUUAAUUAAACUUUGAAAUUGUCAUUUCAGAUUAAUUUUUUUGUUUAUUAUAAUCUAUUGUUUUAAUAAUAAAAUUUAUUUUAUGAAUAAAAAAAGAGUUUUAAUUAUAUUGAACUGUUAUCAUUAGCAUAAGAUUUUUAAGAUAUUGAUUCUUUAUAUAACUCUUAACUAGUAAAAUUUCAUUAAAAAAGUAUUAGAUUAGAGUUCAUGAGUAAUUAAAUCUCAAAUUAUUAUAUAUUGACAACUUUAAUUUUAAUAUCAUCCUAACGUCAAAAGAUUUGACAAGUAAGGAUUUUAUUUUAUUGAUUUGGGCUUAGGAAUUAAAUAUAUGCUUAUUUUCUUUGCAUGGCAAAUAAGAGGUUCUUCGAGACAAGGUAAAUUUCUCAAAUAAUUUCUUUUUUUUUUCCUUUGAUUCAUUUCAUUGAAUAUUACUAUGCAUAUUUUUUAUUUUGUUUCCAUGAUUAUAAUUUAUCGAUUUUGAAAUUGAAGGGAAAUAUUCAAGUUUAAAAUUAAUUAUACUAAAUUAAUAUAUCAAAUCAAUUUGCAUGUUCUUAUUUAACAAUACCUGUCUUUGUAUUGAUAGAUACUCAGACAUUAGUGAUACUUUUUUCAUAUUUAAAUUUAUUUUUAUACAAAUUAAAAUUUUAAAAAAUAAAUAUAUUAUGCUUGCAACCGUAGAAAAAUGAUAUUUGAGUCAAAUUUCGAAACAAAAACAUAGGGAAAAAUUGUAUGGUCUAAUCAAUUAAGAUUUGGAUUUUCUUGGUUUAGUUAAACUUUAGUUAACAGAUCGAAAAAGUACAGUGUCAAAGAAGGAGAUGCCAGCCCCCCCUUGAAUUGAAUAUCUGUUUAUAACUUCAAGUUGCAGUAUUAGGCAUAUGUCUUUUGUCACUUACCCACAUGAUUUUUUUUGUUUCAAAAUCCAUAACUACAGUUUUGUCAUAUUCAGACAACCGAAAUUGCUCAGUUUCCUUUGGUUGUAUCUUUUUGACUGUGCUUUUUUAGACAAAAACAUGGAGAAAAAGAGGGCAAUUUAUUAAUGAAGUGCAGAAGAUGAAAAGGAAAGGAAACCGUGUGCAAACCUUUGUUUCUUCUGAUUUUCUUCAAUUAUUUGGUUUUUUUCUUUUCUUCUUUUCCAAAAUUUAUGAAAAUAAAGAAAAAGGAAAUUGAUCCCUAGUCUCCUUUGUAGCCUACCAUUUUACUUUUAGCCAUCCCUUUGGAUCCAACGAAGACAAAUUGAUUUAUUUUUACAAGUCAGCACAUAUGAAAUAUGACCAUACUCUUGACGGAAAGGCAACCAUCUUGACCUGAAAACUUGGUUGUUUCUUGACUUUUACGAGACACACACAGAGAGAGAAAGUGUUUUGGUUAGAAUCGGAUGCGUUUCAGACAACCCCACUUGAAACGAAUGAAUACAUAUAUUUGGAAAGCUGAGGAGUUGUUGUAGUUUUCAGAAGUGGGUUCAGUUGAGAAACUUCAAACUUCCCUCCAUCCUCUCUCUCUCUCUCUUUCUCUCUCUACACAAAGUAUAGCCUUCGGCGCACAUGC